UUUUAUUUAACCUUGCUGUUUUGAAGUGUAAGAAGGUCCUUUAGAAAUAGCAAAGCACAUCGUGCCCGUAUUUAAAUGGUCUUUGAAUAUGAAACGAAAAAAAUGAAAAUAGUUGAACUUGUAACAGGUUGAUCGCUGAACGAUGGAAUUUGCUGCCAUGUUCUGAGUAAUGGAUACUCGUGUUGCUGACGUUUGAUUUAAAAUGUGUACAAAUAAAUAAAAAGACCAACCCUUGAUGCUGAAGUAAAAAGAAAAGGAUUAGGAUUAGGAGAGCGUAAUUGGCCAGUUCCGGUGUCAAGUGUUUUUCCACAUUUUUCAUGCAGACGUGCGAGCGCGUGUGUGCUGUUGUGUACAGUGAGCUGACAGUAGAUGUGCCUGACUAAGUGUGUUUUUAUCAACAGUGUCAAUCAAGCGAAGCUCUAUCCACGCAGGUACACACAGGUGUCUCUGAAACUUACAGGUGAUAGCGUGAUACACACCUGAAAUAUACGUAUCCAUGAUAACAUCCCGGUCUCAAAGUGAAUUUUGUACAAAAUGGAAACUUAACUAAGUCCGGAGUUCAUUAUUUUCAUUCGUCAUUGAAUCCACGCCGUGUUUUACGGAUUCUUAACAGGAGCAUGGGAAAGGAAGAGGAACUGUUUAAAAUAGUUCACAACAACGAUGAGAAAAAACUACAGGUAAACUCGGACCCGGAAGUGGGGGGACCAGAUUACUCGGUGAACCGAUUACUCAUUGUAUGCAUUGAAUAGAUUUCGGUGUAUGUUAAGUUAAUUUUUUUUCAAUUUUUUUAAACUGUGUUUCAAAUGUAAACAUGAAAAAUUUGUUUUGGGUUUUAUUUGGUAUUUUGAACAAUUGAUAUAAAUAUCAUUAAUAUUA
rnacentral:misc_RNA from 1 species